AGAGCGAACGCUGGCGGCAUGCUUAACACAUGCAAGUCGCACGGGCAGGGGUAACCCUGUCAGUGGCGGACGGGUGAGUAACGCGUAGGUAUCUAUCCUUGGGUGGGGGACAACUGUGGGAAACUACAGCUAAUACCGCAUGAUAACUGAGGUUUAAAGGCGCAAGUCGCCUGAGGAGGAGCCUGCGUACGAUUAGCUAGUUGGUGGGUAAAGGCCUACCAAGGCUGUGAUCGUUAGCUGGUCUGAGAGGAUGAUCAGCCACAUUGGGACUGAGACACGGCCCAAACUCCUACGGGAGGCAGCAGUGGGGAAUAUUGGACAAUGGGCGAAAGCCUGAUCCAGCAAUGCCGCGUGUGUGAAGAAGGUCUUCGGAUUGUAAAGCACUUUCGACGGGACGAUGAUGACGGUACCCGUAGAAGAAGCCCGGCUAACUUCGCGCCAGCAGCCGC
rnacentral:rRNA from 1 species